UACGUAGGGGGCAAGCGUUGUCCGGAUUUAUUGGGCGUAAAGAGCGUGUAGGCGGCCUUACAGGUCAGCUGUGAAAACUCGAGGCUCAACCUCGAGACGUCGGUUGAAACCGUAAGGCUAGAGUCCGGAAGAGGAGAGUGGAAUUCCCGGUGUAGCGGUGAAAUGCGCAGAUAUCGGGAAGAACACCCGUGGCGAAGGCGGCUCUCUGGGACGGUACUGACGCUGAGACGUGAAAGCGUGGGGAGCGAACAGG
rnacentral:rRNA from 1 species